rnacentral:rRNA from 1 species
UCCGUGCCAGCAGCCGCGGUAAUACGGAGGGUGCGAGCGUUAAUCGGAAUUACUGGGCGUAAAGCGCAUGCAGGUGGUUUGUUAAGUCAGAUGUGAAAGCCCCGGGGCUCAACCUCGGAACUGCAUUUGAAACUGGCAGACUAGAGUACUGUAGAGGGGGUAGAAUUUCAGGUGUAGCGGUGAAAUGCGUAGAGAUCUGAAGGAAUACCGGUGGCGAAGGCGGCCCCCUGGACAGAUACUGACACUCAGAUCGCGUAAAGCGUGGGGAGCUAAACCAGGAUUAGAUACCCUCGGUAG